UUUCCUCUGAUUAAAUUAAUGUUCCAAACUCAAAAGAAAAACAACUCAGCUCAGGCAUCACCUUUCCUGGAAGGCUUCCCUAGUCCUCCUGCCUCCCGCAGACUUGUCUGGCACCCUGUGCAUUUGGGAUUUGGCACACUAUGUCUCGUCUGCGGCCUCCACUGGACGAUGAGACCUGUUCUUGGGGAAGAUCCCGACUAAGCCAUUUUCCAGUGGCACCUCUUCCACCAUGAGUUCCUGAGGCAGUCCGAUGGGGCUACUUUAUUCCAGAACAAUCACAGUGAGACCUCUUCUCCCGAUAAAUGCCCCUUUUCUCUCCUUAAUAUAUUAUCUUGCUUACAAAACA
ensembl:lncRNA LINC02556 long intergenic non-protein coding RNA 2556